UCCUUGGUGGCUCAGAUGGUAAAGAAUCUGUCUGCAAUGCAGGAGACCCAAGUUAGAUCCUUGGGUCAGGAA
rnacentral:tRNA from 1 species